UUGUUUGAAGAGUAACCGCUUGCGGUUGGCUGACUAAUUUUAAAGAACUUUUACUAAAAUUUGAGUAGCAAUUUGUGCGUGGUCACGCUUUCAAAAGGUACUUUUGGUAGAAACGACUUUUCAACUUCUAAACAAUCAUCCCUGCUACUAUUAGAAGACACUUAUUUUUUCUUUAAAAGUGGUCAAACACCUCAACUCUCAAAAAAGAAAAAAAAAAGAAAAAAAUUAAUUAUCCAGAAGUUUGGACAAAAAAGCUAAAAAUGUGUGAUAGAUAUAAUUAAUAAUUGUAGGUUGAACACAAAUCGACUAGUAAAAAGAAUGUAAGACUACAAUUAUAGAAACAAAGUCGAAACUGGAGAAGAAUUGGCUGAAAGACCUUUUUAAGUCUUGAAUUAAGAAACUAUACCGUUCUUUUCUUUGUCAUUUAUUUUAAGUGCAAUAAAUGUUUAACUGUCUAUUAAAUGCUUUUCGGGAUCUAUUUCAUAAUUCUUAAAAGUUCAGGGCUGAGGUUUCAUGUUUAGGAAAAUAUGCUUAUGUCUCUCAAGCUCUCCAGUCGUUGCUCGGUCUCCAAAUUUUUGAAGCACGACCAUCAUCGUUUGUAGAUCUCAAAAAGAAGCAAAGGAGGAAAGUCCUUAAAGCUAAUGGUUCGUUCUGCUGUAAAGGACCUU